GGGUGGCGAAGUGGUGAACGUAUCGGUCUGCAAAACCGACAUUCGAGGGUUCGAAUCCCUCUCC
rnacentral:tRNA from 1 species